GGGGGGAACAAAGAAGGAGAUGGGGGUUGUUAGCUUGCCCUGGAGUGGGGCCUCGGAUGCGGAGCAGGGGGCGCUGGCUGACUGGUACCUUGUCCCUGAGGGGGACAGGCUGUGGCUGGUUCUGAGACUGUGACGGAAAGGCGGUGAUUGAUCUGAAAUGAUCUGUGGCUACUGGGGUGACGCUACCUGGAAGCGGAAGCCCAUGAGAUAGACUAAGUCCCUCCGCCUGCCUUGCUGCUUCUUACCCCCCACCCCCACCCCUGCAGCGACAGUAAGGCGGCAGAGAGCACAGCAGGAGGCGGCCAGCAAAGGGGAGGGGUUUGCACAGUUCCGGCCCCAGCAACAGCCAGUGGACUCGAAGCGUGGGUCUGCCGCAGAGACAAGGGUAUCGUAACCAGGGCACCCUGCUUCUGUUUCCUCUCAGCCGCGAGGCAGAUUAGGGACAAUCGCCUCCUCUGGGCAGGCUGGCCCUGUGUCAGGGCGCGUGGUCUGGUGAGCGGAAUUAGAAGAAGGUGCGUCCCGGAAGAAGCAAACCAUCCCAGGGUGUGUGGCUGGGUAGAAAACCGCGGGCCGGAUUUUAGCUCCUGACCCCCUUCUCAUCAAGGCGCGCUUCCCCUCGUACAGGGUGCGACCUGUGCCGUCACGGCCGGUGGUCUCACGCAGCACCGUCUCCGGCAUGUGGCGCAUUCCGUUACAGAUGGGCGUCGCACAUGCACGCGCGUGUGCAGAUGAAAACGGGUUUUCUGCCAACGCAGUAUAUGUGUGACGGCAGAUGUACAUGUAGAGACGGUUUGCCCGAGCAGGAAAGGGGGCUAUCCUGUUGCCCACCCUCCGUGGGGGCUGGGAGUGAGGAUGGGCUAUCGAGAGACCCCCAGGGUCCCCGGGGUGUUCUGUGGGUAGCUCACCACGCAGCUGCCCCGUCUCGACGCAGGACCCAGGGUCUGAACUAAACCAGUGUGCUUCUGCAGACAAAGGCAUAGAAAAUAGAAACAGUUUCUCAGCGAAUCUAGGACAGGAAGCCGCUUCUGAGGGACAGUGUGGUGUUGGUGGUGAACCAAGAUGUGGGGGCGGGAGUCUUCAGAUAGUAGGCAUUAGAGAAGUUUGAGAGGCUAUUUCAGCAUUCCUCAUAAUAGAGUUUUCAAAUUGGAUGGGACCCUAGGAAUGAUCUAGUGAUAAUGAUGAUGACGGUAACACUAGUGGUCUUAGAUUAGGUUUUCGGGAACUAGACUCUGAGACGGUUCUCGGAGAGGCCGGGGAGCACGGGGAACACAAAUAAAGAGGGGAGGAGGCUGACCAGGCCAAGGGGGCAAGCAGACCCAAGGUGUGGCUGUGAACGAGGCCCCAGGACCCUACAGGGGGCUCUGGAGUGGGAUGGGCCUUCAAAAUGGCCUCCGACCGAGGUAAGAAGGCUGGCCCUUGCGUCCACACAUCACCCGGUCAUCGGCCACAGGCCCCCGUGAGAGAGCAGAUCCCCGUGGUCUAAGGUAGGUUCUGAUGAGGGAUGAGCUUCCCAUUAGCUGGAGAUGUGUUGCUCCCAAGAAGGGAUCUGGGCAGAGCUUCAAGGGAGCCACAAAAGUAGCAAUGAGGUGACAAUAACCUCCCACCUGUUGAUCACCUACAGUGAGCUAGAAGCCUUGCCCACAGGCCUCCCCAAGUAUUCCCCAUCCCAGUAAGUAGCACUGGCAUCCAACCACGGCUCAGCACUUUUUCACCCACAGCCAGAAUGACCCCCAACCGUUGCUCUCCUGUGUAGAGCCCUUGAAUCGCUUCUUGUCGAACUGCAAGUCUAAACUCCCUAACGCAGGAUGCAAGGACCCACGCCAUGGGUCUCUGCGCCCUCGUCGACCGACGUCUGUUUUCCCCUAGCCCCCCAUAUUCUAGUCUCACUGGUCUUCACUUGAUUCCUUCUGCAUACCCAGCUCAUUCUGGCCUCAAAGCCUUUAUAGUAGCUGUUCCCCAUGCCUGGAAUGACCUUCCCCAGAACUGCCAUGGCGUGGCCUUGUCAUUCAAGCCUCAGCUCCAGUGUCACCUCCCUGAUGAGGCCUCUCCUGACCUCCCUAGUUAAAUUCUUACUGGAGACAUCAGUCUAGCCGGGUUUCAAGGACCAGUCCCCACCUCUUGCAGCCUGGGGGCGAUUUGCAACUUGUCAAAGCUUCCUUUGUACAACCUGACCUGGCUGGUGGGGUGUCUCCUUGGGAAGAAAGUUCUCACGUGGUCUUUUUCAGGAUCCCAGAGCUGUCUGGGACCUCCCUGGCCCUAUUGUGGUAAAGCGAAACUCACUGCGGAAUAGGAGGAGCUCGGGAACUGAGAGCCCGGCCUCUCUUCUCCAAGUGAGUCAGUUAACAAGUGGAAAAGAGAAACCCCUUCACCACUGAAUUUUUAACCGCACCAGAAACUGCCCAUCUGUUUGGUCCAACGCGGGAGGGGCAAUUUGGUUACUCUGUCUACAGGCUUGGGGCAAGUAGGAACAGAGAUGAGGUUGGAAGCAUUGUUAACGUGUGUGUUUUCUUCAGUCAUUAAAGGACAGCGGCAAACUUGGGACGUUUGAAGGGAACCGUCAUCCGCUUCACAAGCAGUCGUUUGGUUCUGUGACUAAGACGUGGAAGGACUUGGACGAGGCAUCGGGGCCACCGGAGUGUCACACGUGACAAGGAGCAACUCCCAGGGGAAGCGAGGGGGCGGUGGAUUCCAGCGAACGUCGAGCGGGAACGAGGCAAGUGUCGCGAGCGGUGAGGACGGGCCUUGUCUUUCUGCAGAGCCAUAUCCUUCGCCGUGUUCUCCGUGUGCCAGUGUACCCACAUGUGCAAGAGGAAUGGCUGAAUCUAACUACAUGAGCCCAGCUGAGCAGCCCAGAUGAGGAAUGCCAAGGGACACUGUCUUGGGCCACAUCCUGUUGAACACUUACCAAUGGCUAGAAUGGACUUACUAUUCAUGGUGUCCCUGUAAGAUAGGUUGUGUUACCCCUUUUACAGGCCAGGUGAUUCCCCCAUGGGGCUGAGCCGCCUUGUCCCCGAGGGGCGUGUGGGAAAGUGGGAAGGGUGGACGUUUCAGGGAAGGUGAGAGGCAGGGUUUGAAAAGGCCUUGGCCAGGCUGAAAUGGGCUCAAAUUCAUGCAUAGCAAGAUGAAAGGCAAGAGAGACCUUUGCUUGGGGUUCAGAAUACCCACCAGACACACACAGGAUGUGGGAUACCUAGGUCAACAGCAUAAGUGAAAGAGGCUGGGUUUUUAGUUGACAGGAAGUCUCGUAUGAGUCAACAGGGGGGAGGUGGCAGCCAGCAAAGCUAAUGUCACUGUAGCAUCCACCAAGUGGAGGUACAACGAGUCGGGGAGGGAGGAGAUACUCCCGAGUCAGUCUGCAUCCAGGAAAUGGAGCUCAGGUCUGGAAACCUGAGUCAGGGAAAGGGGCAGAGAGCUCACCAGGCUCUCUGACCCAGAGGCUGGGGGUGGACACUCCUGGCUGCUGCUGGACACUCUCCUCGUCCUCUGGCAUCCCCAAAGCGUAUCAGUCUAUUUCUGAACAAUUACAGCCCCUUCUUGCUCUUAUCCGAUUGCCUUGCCUGCCUCCAGAAUACGCUACUCAUUCAACUUUGGGUUUUAUUCACGUAACCUGAGUACCUGUGGGGAUUCCUUGUGACCUCGUUUCUACAUGAAGUCACGUUCAAAGAAGCCCAAUCCAGCAAGUGAAAGAGAGAGCUUUCCAUCUUCAGGCACACCUCUCAAAGAGAUGAAAAAGAAUGAGGUCCCUGUUUCCUUUUCUCUCUUACUAUCUUGGGCUUCAAGUCUUCUUUAGAAACUUUGACUCUUCCAAGGAACCCCAAACCCCCCGGGCAUCCAUAAUCGACCUGACACGCCAUGACUCUCGAGUUUCUGCAUCCCCAUUAUACACAAAGGACUCAACACCUAUGUCUUUUUUUUUUUUUCUUCUGGUCCCUCCUUCCCUACGCCCUCUAUGUUCUUGAGUUUUCUUUCCACUUCACUGCUGACCCAACUUCCUCCCUCCGACAGGGUGGGGGGACUCAGAGACUGAUCUGGCAAGCCAGGAUGCUCCCCCGCGACCUGGGUCUCUCCAGCACUGUCUGUCCCUUCCUAUCCUCCCAGGAACUGCGCUGGCCAAGAUGGAGCUCUGAGGGAGCUGAAUGAGAAGAAACAGAGCAGGCCGAGACCGCAUUUUUGGAGAGUGGGGUGUGUGGGGCAAAUAUGGCGACGGGAGGGAUGGCGGGGACGUCGGGAA